rnacentral:lncRNA from 1 species
GCAAUUUUUUUCCUGUCUGCACUCUCUGUCCAGUUAAAAUAAGCAAUUAAGCAUACAAAAUAAGUAGAAACUCCCAUAAGUUCCUCUUAAAAACUAUAAUUUCCAUUAAGUCCAAAACGGCAAAACCUGGAAACACAAAACUUACAGUUUUCCCUUUUUACCGCUAAAACAGAUCAAUUAUUUAUGCUUCUCCCCAUUAUC